AUUGAACGCUGGCGGCAUGCCUUACACAUGCAAGUCGAACGGUAACGCGGGGCAACCUGGCGACGAGUGGCGAACGGGUGAGUAAUACAUCGGAACGUGCCCAGUAGUGGGGGAUAGCCCGGCGAAAGCCGGAUUAAUACCGCAUACGACCUACGGGUGAAAGCGGGGGAUCGCAAGACCUCGCGCUAUUGGAGCGGCCGAUGUCAGAUUAGCUAGUUGGUGGGGUAAAAGCCUACCAAGGCGACGAUCUGUAGCUGGUCUGAGAGGACGACCAGCCACACUGGGACUGAGACACGGCCCAGACUCCUACGGGAGGCAGCAGUGGGGAAUUUGGACAAUGGGGGCAACCCUGAUCCAGCCAUGCCGCGUGCGGGAAGAAGGGCCCUUCGGGGUUGGUUAAAACCCGGACCGUUUUUGGUUCCUAGGGGAAGAUACGGUCUGCGCUAUACCUCGGAGGAUGACGGUACCUGAAGAAUAAGCACCGGCUAACUACGUGCCAGCAGCCGCGGUAA
rnacentral:rRNA from 1 species